GCAUUGGUGGUACAGUGGUAGAAUUCUUGCCUGCCAUGCGUGAGACCCGGGUUCGUAUCCCAGCCUAUGCA
rfam:Salmo salar isolate Sally breed double haploid chromosome ssa14, whole genome shotgun sequence.